rnacentral:misc_RNA from 1 species
UAUUAAAUUCUCUAUAUACUAAAUGGCAAAGCUAUUCCACAUUCACUUGAGCACUGGCUGCCUCCAUCAACCCAUUGCGUAUUUGCUCACCAACAUCCCUAAUAUGACCAGGACCGUGAGGAAUAAAGACAGUAGUGUUCUUAGAUGAGGAUCCGAGGUCUUUGAUUGUGUCAAAGUAUUGGGUGAUCAUGAUGAGAUCCAUCACCUCCUUGGCAGUGGUUCCCUCCACCUUGUGAGAAAAAUUCAAUAU